AGAGUUUGAUCCUGGCUCAGGAUGAACGCUAGCGGCAGGCUUAACACAUGCAAGUCGAGGGGCAGCAUAAGGAGUAGCAAUACUUUUUGAUGGCGACCGGCGGAUGGGUGCGUAACGCGUAUGCAACCUACCAUAUACAGGGGGAUAACCUUGAGAAAUUAAGACUAAUACCCCAUAGUAUAAUUAUGUGGCAUCACAUUAUUAUUAAAGAUUUAUCGGUAUAUGCUGGGCAUGCGUGACAUUAGUUAGUUGGUAAGGUAACGGCUUACCAAGGCUACGAUGUCUAGGGGUUUUGAGAGGAAGGUCCCCCACACUGGUACUGAGACACGGACCAGACUCCUACGGGAGGCAGCAGUGAGGAAUAUUGGUCAAUGGACGGAAGUCUGAACCAGCCAUGCCGCGUGAAGGAAGACGGCCUUAUGGGUUGUAAACUUCUUUUAUACGGGGUUAAUCUUACAUUUGCGAAUGUAGUUGAAGGUACCGUAUGAAUAAGCAUCGGCUAACUCCGUGCCAGCAGCCGCGGUAAUACGGAGGAUGCGAGCGUUAUCCGGAUUUAUUGGGUUUAAAGGGUGCGUAGGCGGAUUGAUAUGUCAGUGGUGAAAUCACUCAGCUCAACUGGGUAACUGCCAUUGAAACUAUUGAUCUAGAAUGUAAAUGGAGUAGGCGGAAUGAAUCAUGUAGAGGUGACAUUCUUAGAUAUGAUUUGGAACACCGAUCGCGAAGGCAGCUUACUAAGAUACUAUUGACGUUGAUGCACGAAAGCGUGGGUAGCGAACAGGAUUAGAUACCCUGGUAGUCCACGCUGUAAACGAUGAUAACUCGUUGUCGGCGAUACACAGUCGGCGACUUAGCGAAAGCGUUAAGUUAUCCACCUGGGGAGUACGAUCGCAAGGUUGAAACUCAAAGGAAUUGACGGGGGCCCGCACAAGCGGAGGAGCAUGUGGUUUAAUUCGAUGAUACGCGAGGAACCUUACCUAGACUUGAACGUAUUAGUAAUAUAUGAGAAAUCAUAUAGCUAUUUAUAGACUUUUACGAGGUGCUGCAUGGUUGUCGUCAGCUCGUGCCGUGAGGUGUUAGGUUAAGUCCUGCAACGAGCGCAACCCUUACACUUAGUUGCCAGCAUGUAAUGAUGGGGACUCUAAGUGGACUGCCGGCGCAAGCUGUGAGGAGGGAGGGGAUGACGUCAAAUCAGCACGGCCCUUAUGUCUAGGGCGACACACGUGCUACAAUGGUCGGUACAGAGGGCUGCUACACAGUGAUGUGAUGCCAAUCUCUAAAGCCGAUCUCAGUUCGGAUCGGAGUCUGCAACCCGACUCCGUGAAGUUGGAUUCGCUAGUAAUCGCAGAUCAGCCAUGCUGCGGUGAAUACGUUCCCGGGCCUUGUACACACCGCCCGUCAAGCCAUGGAAGCUGGGGGUGCCUGAAGUUCGUGACCGCAAGGAGCGACCUAGGGUAAAACUAGUGACUGGGGCUAAGUCGUAACAAGGUAGCCGUACCGGAAGGUGUGGCUG
rnacentral:rRNA from 1 species